UACGGGGGGGGCAAGCGUUGUUCGGAAUUACUGGGCGUAAAGGGCGCGUAGGCGGCCUGUUAAGUCGAACGUGAAAUCCCCGGGCUCAACCCGGGAACUGCGUCCGAUACUGGUAGGCUUGAAUCCGGGAGAGGGAUGCGGAAUUCCAGGUGUAGCGGUGAAAUGCGUAGAUAUCUGGAGGAACACCGGUGGCGAAGGCGGCAUCCUGGACCGGCAUUGACGCUGAGGCGCGAAAGCCAGGGGAGCAAACGGGG
rnacentral:rRNA from 1 species